UCCGGAGGAUGCAAGCGUUAUCCGGAAUGAUUGGGCGUAAAGGGUCCGCAGGUGGCAGUGUAAGUCUGCUGUCAAAGAAUGAGGCUUAACCUCAUCAAGGCAGUGGAAACUACACAGCUAGAGUACGGUCGGGGUAGAAGGAAUUCCUGGUGUAGCGGUGAAAUGCGUAGAGAUCAGGAAGAACACCGGUGGCGAAAGCGUUCUGCUAGACCUGUACUGACACUGAGGGACGAAAGCUAGGGGAGCGAAUGGG
rnacentral:rRNA from 1 species